UUCAUGAUCAUGAUAACAAUAAUUAUUGAUACAAAAAUAAAUAUAUAAGAAAUCUGAUAGAGUACUUAGAGACACGUAAAUACGAUUCUCGAAGAUAAUUAAAAUUUGUUUCACGAACUAAUAAAAGAAUGAUAACACAAUACUAUCUUUUACAUUCAACUAAACCAUAUAUUUUCAAUUGGGAAAUAGCAGUUUUAAUCCUUGUAUUAUUACAUAAUUUCACUUUUAAUCCCUGUGUUAUUUUAUACAUAUUUAACCUUGAAUUAUUUGAAAUGUGUUGUUUUGGUCAUUGAAGUUUACAAAAGUUAACUAUUACUUAAUUUAACAUAAUAUUAAAUAAAAUAAAGGGUUGGUGAUUCUAAAUGCUUGAAGAAUUAUGUAUAUAAAGUCUGCAACACGAAAUUUUUAUGCGAUUAUCCAUCCUAGUUCGACGUACUUAUUUUCAAGCAUGCUUAACUUUGAAGUUUUAUUCAGAAUUCAUAAUGAAAAAUAAAAUAAUAUAUAUAUAUAUAUAACAUAAUAUUAAAUAAAAUAAAGGGUUGGUGAUUCUAAAUGCUUGAAGAAUUAUGUAUAUAAAGUCUGCAACAUGAAAACUUUAUGUGGUUAUUCAUUUCUCAAGCAUGCUUAACUUUGGAGUUUUAUUCAGAAUUCAUAAUUGAAUAAAAAAAAAAAUUCUUACCUCC
rnacentral:lncRNA from 1 species